GUACAGCGAAGCUUUGCUCUUUGGUGAUGUUGCAGUUCCUUAUUUGUUCUCCAAGCAGAUGUGGCAACUUCUUUAGUUCUUCAUCUCAGACUCCUUGUGCUGGGUUGAUUGUGCAAGCUGCAUUCUUCUCUGCUUGUUUCUUCUGCACGACGGGCGGGCACGAGGUAAAGGUGUUGGUCUGUUUCUUUCUUCAAUCUUUCCAAGUGCCCACCUCUUGCUUUCUUUCUCCUUGUCCCUAGUUGAGGAUGAAUCAGCACGUUGUCUCCACAUGCUUUGAGGUAUCAUCUUCACUUCCCUUAUACGUGAGAGACGAAGCGGAAG
rnacentral:lncRNA from 1 species